rnacentral:misc_RNA from 1 species
CAAGAUGUCACCUAUUUUUAUUUCUAAACUACAAUAAUGUUCUUUGGUUCCUUUUAGUGAUAUAUUUUAAAAGGCCUUCAAAAGGAUUGGCAAUUAUAAAGAAUACAGUUGCAGUAUAGGCAAAAGAUAUAUUUCUACCCAGAAGAACUGGGGUACAGAUAAAUUGACUGAUAAAAAGAGAAGGCAUUGUGAAAUGGUGAUAGAUACCAGAAAGGAUAGAAGAUAAUGCUCUGUUGUCUUCUUUUGUCAGAUAAAAUGUGAGAGCAUAUCAGUAUAAACAGAAGCAAGUGAAAGUUUUCUCUCAUGCUGGGUACUUCAUUCCAUUGGCCACUUUAUUUUUUCUUCUUAUCUUAAUAGUCUUAUUUUAAAUGAUGUAUUCUUGUUGUGUCAUAAAGUUUGGAGGCAUGCCAAUGUAGACAAGACAAUAAAAUAAUAUUUGAACAAAGUUAUGUUGAAAGAAUACCCAUGAUUUGAUGGAGGAGAAAAUUUUAUUGCUAAUCAUACAAUUCUAACUCUGGUUAAAUUUAAUGCAAACAAUGAAUUCUAAAGCCUAAGUAUGUUGCUCCUGGUUUGGCCCCUUCAACAACCAAGGUAGCUCUGUCCGUGAUAAUUUUAAAUGUGCAUGUAUGAUAACUUCUCAUAAUGCAAUUUUAUUGAACAAAUUUAUAAAUGUGUUG